rnacentral:lncRNA from 1 species
CUUUUACUUCUGCCCCUCUGUUUACCAUUUAAAUUUUUUUCAUAAAUGUUCUGUUCUCUUUUCUCUAAACUGUGAUAUUCAGUUAGAGAUUAAUAAGGGAAGUAUGUGGGUGGAGGGGCCAGUGACUUAGUUGCAGAAGUGAAACAAGCUAGUAGAACUGUUCUAUUGCCAUUUGAACUUAAGACCGACAACCAUAAGAAGCAAAGGCGUCUAGACAGAGACAGAAAAGAAGAGGACGGUCAUUCUGUGCCAUGUUGGCUGAAGGUUUUCUCAGAGUGCUGCAUUACAGGGAGGAGAGAAAGGUUUCCUCCAAGCUAAAGAGAUCACAGACUCCCUGUACGGAUCAGUUUAGCAGCUGUAUUCUCUCUGAGUCAAACUCUACAGACCUACAAACAUAUUCAGCUGAAGCAGGUCCAAACCAGGAAGAAGUCAACCAAUUCCAGGGCCUGAAAGUGGCGCCUCACGGUCCUGCAGGCCUCUCAAUCCCUAGGUGUCCACCUGUCCUCACCCUGGACCCAGACUUUACAGUUUGCUUGGACGAUUGCAACAGCCUCCUGGAACAGUAUCCAGACCUGCAGGUGGCCGACUCAGGCCGCAUCUCACAUAAUUUACUGAGACCCACCGUGCCCCAGCGCUGUCUUUACACUCCUGCCCCUGAAACCUGCCGUCGUACAGAAUGGGCAGCCAAACAGGGGCCACAAGGCGAGUCCGUCUCAUCCAUACCAGACCAGGGUUAUCUGGUCAUGGGGGCCAGUGUGAACAACAGCAUGGAUCUGCCCGGCUCAGGGUUGGAGCCGAUGUCUAACUCGUUGCUGAAUGGGCUGCUGGAGAAACAGCUGGAGGAGGUGUACAUGCAGCAUCUGACUGACAACUUGGCUCGAUGUAACUCCCACCUGGGGAACAGCCUCCUGCACGGCCUGGUGCCUCUGCCGCAGCCCGGCAGCCAGCCUCGGGGGCCAGACUCGCUGGAGGCAAGUCUGGAACAGGGAUCAGGAGAGGACAGCGGCAAGAAGAUUAGUUAUCUGAACACUCAUAACUUAAAUCCUUGCUCGUCCAACUUCAGUUCCCCGGUGCUGAGGAUUUCAGAGGCUGACAAUACUUAUCUGCAAUGAAUGAAAUCAUGCACACAUCCUGCAAAAGUAUUAAAUGUGACGCUCGGCUAUGCUUUUCUCGGUUCCUUUACCUCCAUGUUUGCACACACCCUCAUGCAACUGACACAUGAAAACAAGUGCAAAUCAGUAAAUCAAUGCACUCUUUUAUUUUUGUUUACCUUUAUUUACACAAUGUCUUUGUUUACUUGCUUGAUGGAAUGCUGCCUCAAAUGUACCUGCUUUCAUGCGCCAUCUGCUGUUAGGUUUUAGAACUACACCAUCCAGUAUUUCCCUCAUAAACAUGAAUUUAUUUUAUUGAUAUAUACCGUAUAUAUAUAUAUAUAAAUGGAUGUGUGUUUUUAUUAUUUUGAAGCAAAGUAUAAUCCCAUGUUAGAUUUUAGAUUAAGAUUAAGAUUAAUGCUACACAUUGAAGUUGCCUUGUAAAUAGAGAUGUAGUGAAAGUUAAUCCAUCUUGUGUUAGUGAAGUAAAAUAAGAUUCCAAUCAACUAAUAACGAAUCCUCUUUUUCUUUUUGAAGAGCAUUUGGAUUUAAUUGUGCUUUUUUAUUUGAUGGUAGUAAUAUAUUCCGUUUUAUAUUCCGUCUUUAGCAAGACUUCAAAUUCAAUAUUUUGCUCCCAUGUCUUGUUUUGUGAGCGAUGUGUCGUCUCUCAAUGUUUAGAUAUACAUGACACACAUUAAAUGGUGAAGUAAAGUGAGUUGACUGCCUAAUUUGUAUGAUUACUUUUAUAUGAGAUAUUUAAGGCUCGUAGUGGAUGAAGU